UGAGGAAUAUUGGUCAAUGGACGCAAGUCUGAACCAGCCAUGCCGCGUGAAGGAUGAAGGCGUUCUGCGUUGUAAACUUCUUUUAUCAGGGAAGAAACCUAUUUUUUCUAAGAUAGUUGACGGUACCUGAGGAAUAAGCACCGGCUAACUCCGUGCCAGCAGCCGCGGUAAUACGGAGGGUGCAAGCGUUAUCCGGAUUUACUGGGUUUAAAGGGUGUGUAGGCGGGCUUUUAAGUCUGGGGUGAAAUCCCGAAGCUCAACUUCGGAACUGCCUUGGAUACUAUUAGUCUUGAAUUAUGUUGAGGUUGGCGGAAUAUAACAUGUAGCGGUGAAAUGCAUAGAUAUGUUAUAGAACACCGAUUGCGAAGGCAGCUAACUAAGCAUAUAUUGACGCUGAGGCACGAAAGCGUGGGGAUCAAACAGG
rnacentral:rRNA from 1 species